rnacentral:rRNA from 2 species
UACGGGGGGGGCAAGCGUUGUUCGGAAUUACUGGGCGUAAAGGGCGCGUAGGCGGCCUUCUAAGUCAGACGUGAAAUCCCCAGGCUUAACUUGGGAACUGCGUCUGAUACUGGAUGGCUUGAGUGCGGGAGAGGGAUGUGGAAUUCCAGGUGUAGCGGUGAAAUGCGUAGAUAUCUGGAGGAACACCGGUGGCGAAGGCGGCAUCCUGGACCGACACUGACGCUGAUGCGCGAAAGCCAGGGGAGCAAACGGG